CAAGGCCAAAGAUUCUCACCCCUGCCCCUGCUCUCAUUGAUGCCUCACUACCGCUCCCCACCCUUACCUACCGUGAGCUCUAUUACCUUCACCCUUAUUGAUCGUGACUUUGGAAGAGAGAGCUAUUCAGUGUCAUUUUCAACGAUACAAGCUACAAUCGAACUGGAGCUCAGUUCCACCAUGACUUCCACCAUGACCAGUAACCCUCAAGCUCCAUUUAUCGACUAGUGGUGACAUCAACGACAAUUAAGGGAGGGAGAAUUGAGAAAAGAGACUCGUUAAAGAAAAACUUUCAAAAUGGCUAAACCACGAAGCUAUUGAGCAAGUGGCCGAUGGUGCUGGACUCCUUUCAAGAUCAUGCUUCCAGCCACACCUGUCCCCGACCAAAACAACCAUUGGCUUUGUCAUCUUCUUCUUACCACAUACCUGAAACAAUGCCAAUCAUUGCUUUUGCAGUUCCUCAUGAGGUUGUUCUGAAAAUUUGGAAAAGUAAAAGAAUCUGGGAAUGAAAAGAAUUUCCCAAAUACCAUACACAAACAAACAGGAAUGAAAAUGGAAGGAUUUCACUAAUUCAAAAGAGCCACAAAGGCAAUUUUCAAUACAAAUCAACUCUAAGAACAAGAAGAAGAUUACUAGAAGAAAAAAAAGGACGGAUCACUGCCAAACAGCUCUGCUGCUAAUUAUUUCGGCCCAAGCAUACAGCUGGAAACUGAUUCAAAGAAGAUUAUCAGGCACUCCUUCUCCCCCAUAAUUGAUGCCCUUUUAUGACCUUUCUCCUUCAGACUUCCCUUGGUUCUCUCCAACGGAAUUCCGUGCCAAAUCAGCUACAACUCCCUUCUUACUCCUAGAAUAAACCUUUCAAGUCUUCCACCCGCGACUCUGAUUUGGACCCUGGCCCAUCUUCUCAUCAAAAUUCAACAAUUGGUACGAAUAGGAAAAUUUGAGACUGCAGAGUCCACUAUUUCCAGAAGUUCUAGUGUGAUAAGAUGCCAAUUUUGGAGCUCUUUGUCGAACACUGCAACCAUUUCUUUUGAGGAAAAAGCAAUGGUAGAUUUCAUUUCGGUUGAAAAGAAAUAUCUCAAAAUGAUGCAACAGGAUAAACUCUUAUUCUCUUAAUGAGUUUGUUGAUCUCCAUUUCUGAAGGCUUUGUUGACCUUGAAUUUGUUGAUCUUGUUAAUGUUUGUGGAUUUUGGACAUUGUUUAUUGAUGAAGAUGAUUAGAAUUUGAGGAGAGAAAGAGAGUAAAUAGAAACAUAGACAGAGAGAGAGUGAGGUUAGACAGAUAGAGGAAGUAGAGAAGGGGGUGGGUGACUAGGUGAGAGAGAAAAUAAGGAGAGAAUAUUUUCAAAUGUCAAUUCUUUUUUUGCCCCUCUUAUGCCUAUCAUAUCACCACUUUAACCCAGAAAACUUCAAUAGCACAAAGGAGUAGUUUUACAGUUAAUCAAAUUGAAGUUGGGGCUUGGGGGAGUUUAAAGAUACAAAUUGAAGUUCAAGAAUGAAGCUAUUACAGGAGUCAUAGUUUGGGGAGGGAAGAUGAAAUUAACCCUGUAAACUUUCUCAUCCCACUCAAGUAGGGCAGUACCAUCUCAAAUGAAACAUCAAAUUAGUAGAUUUAUAAUUAAACGAGGUAUAACCAAAUUCAAAGAAAUUCAGUAAUACCAUUUUCCAUAACAUAGGAUCCUUCCUUUCUUUAGGCAAAAGUAGAUGAUCUCGUAACUGAGAGGCAACCAACCAAGGUUCACCAUUUGAUGUCUUUGACAUCAAGGCAUUCUCUUCAAGGAUCUCGCAAACCUGGUGGUAAAGCUCUUCACCUCGGGUUGAUAAGUAUAAUUUACAUUGGACUUUCCGAAGUAAUAAUGCAGAUGCCACAGCCAGUACACAAAGUGUUGAAAUAACAAAAGCAUGCUUGGAGACCAAUUGGCGAAGGCGACAGGUAAAUGGUUUGUAAUGUUCCGCAACUGAGUCAGGACACUUCAACUCUUUGCUCCUAUAAGUAUUUGUCCUCGUCUCAAAUAAACCAUCAAUGAUAUCCAAUGCCCUCUUUUUGGUAUAUAUAUUUACAGCAUUGUCUGGCAUUAAAUUUUCCAUCAGUUUGUGUCGAUCUAUAUCAUUCCAAAUAUCAUCUUCUUGUACCCAAAUUUUCCCAGUUCCAUAGCACAAAAAUUGAGCAUAAGCUUCACAAUGUCGAUUUUCCACGCAUUCUGAAAGUUUCUUAGCUCUUUCAUUAAUCUCUCCAUCUUCUACACAUAUGUUUCUAUGCUUUCUAUAGCCACGAGCACAUUCCAACUUGCCCUGAGUACAUUCUCCAUUUUUUGGACAAGGCUCACAAAAAUCUGAGAAAGAAUCAGAAGAGUCUAUAUUGCUAUCGCAGAACGGCUUCGUUGUGGGAUUAAUGUAUCUUAUUAUGAAAUUACAUGUCAAAGCCACCGAAGAAGCGAUUGCCAAAACUGCUAUCAGUCUCAAGAACUCUUCCUUCGAAGGAAACAAGCUCUGGGGUGGUUCCAUCAAUGAAGAAUGUGAAGAAGAUAAAGUGGACUCAAGAUCAGGUUUGGGGCUCUUGGAACCUGAUUUUGGGCGCUUCUUCGUGAUAGAAGACAUCAACUCAGAGAGGGUUUUGGCUUUUGGAGAAAAUUGGAUGCC
rnacentral:misc_RNA from 1 species